rnacentral:RNase_P_RNA from 1 species
CGGGAAAAUUAGAUGUUCGCUGCUACUGAAAAGUAGGAGAGGAAAGUCUGGACACCAAAGGGCAGGAUACUUCCUAACAGGAAGCUGCAGUAAUGCAGAGCUAGCUCCACAGAAAUAAACCGCCUGAAGCAGCGUUUUAAUAAAAUCUACUUCAGGUAAGGGUGAAAUGGUGGUGUAAGAGACCACCGGGAAUCUUGGUGACAGGAUUUGCCAGGAAAGCCUUAUCCGGUGCAAUGCCAAAUAGAGAAGUCAGGAAGUGUUGCCCGCACGAUUAUGGCUUCUGGGUAGGCAGCUAAAAUCUAUUCGUGAGAAUAGAUGUAGAGGAAUGGACAUCAACCUCCUUAAUGUAAGAGGUACAGAAUCCGGCUUAUUAUUUUCCCGUGAG